CAGCAGAGGGGUGACCAAGAGGAAGCCCACCACCAGGAGGGCCACGCAGCCUCCGUCAGUCAGCAGGUCUGAGCAGUAGGGGGUCGUCCCAUGAGGGCGGACCUGUUGAGACAAGGAGGAAGGCGGCAGUUGCAGAGGUCCUGGUUAAUCCUUCUCUAAGCUGCUGUCACAUGAGGUCUUAUUGUGAGCGAGCAGGAGAACUGAGAGAAUCCCGGUCUCUCUGGUCAUUAAGGAGGUCGUCGGCUUGCAGAAAUGCCAGAGGGAAAUUCCUGUAUUACUAAACGUGGGCCACUUUUGGAACCAGUCCAGUCGAUUUGCCACUCGAAAAGGAUUACGUCUCCAGCUGAGGUGAUCCGCUCGACAGACUCCAAAACUUUUGGCAGAGCGCGUUCAUACAGAGAUGGAAGAAAUGAACAAAAGACCUGAUGGUGAGUGUCAACUGAAUAUUAAUCUCCAGAGGAAAUAAAAGUAUAAUUCAUACAAACACAAGAUUUACAACACAUACAAGAAUCUGAAAGACAAAAUGAAAUCCCCCCCAAAACAACCAAAGUCGUUAAACCCGUAUGUUUUGAAGCAUUCCAAACAUUUGUAUUUUUUUAAAAUUCUUAAUGCUUUAGAAAAAUGUUCAUAUCUCUAUUAUUAGUAUUUUUCAUUUUCUCUCUUUUCUAAAUACAAGGCCAAUGUGGUAUAUAUCUAGGCUGAUCUAGUUUAGAAAAAACAAAACAAUAAAUUAUUUUAAAAAAGACAGCACCCCACAAAAAUUGCAAACAGCAUGUACAAAUAUCAGUAUUCAAGAAGACAACAACAGAAAAAAGUUCUCUCUGGUACUGACAGAAACACGCCAUUGAAACCAUCAACUACCCUCCACAGUUUGUUCAAUGGCAGCACCAACUGCCCCUGGUUCUCAACUUCACUGUUGCCAGGGCUUCUGGGUUGUAAGCACCAUCUGAGAGUAAACUGGUAUGUUAUUGGCGGCUUGGUAUUUCUUUUUGUAAACAGUAAUGAUGAGUAAACGUAUUCAACUGGCUGUUCGGCAAGUAUUAGCAGUAGUAGCAAAAAUGAUCUUAAAUAAUGAUAGGGUAAGUUGGAAACCAAAGUGAAACUGUGUCUUUUGUCCUGGCUGGCAGGAGUUUUGGUUAUGGCUGAGGAGAUGCAGGAGGGGAGCUCUGUCACCGGGAAGAGGAGGCCUGGUCAGAAAGGAACCUCAAUGUUUGGAGACGACAGCGCAACUGGAAAUAAUAGAUCUUGAAGGAACGGCUACGAAAGCAGGAAAAUCAUAAAUACUGAAUAAGAGGUGUCUGGGUCGGUGAUCUUGACUGUGCGGGCCACGUUCCAGGACACAUGAAUCAUGGGGACGAUGGAUUUGACCUUCUUUACUUCAUUCCACUCAAACCUCUCCAGGGCCAGCUGGUACUGAUGGUGCACUCCUUACCAUUGAGAGGUCCAACAUUCCAGGCAAUGUUGUUGCACCAACCAACGGCCUGAACCCAGUGUACAGUUCCAGCAUUGAUCCACACCAAGUCUCCUGGCCGCUGGAUGAAGCGGUACACAGGGAUGUUGGCUUUGUAGAGGUCCUCCAACACUGGCCACCAGGAGCCUGUCAGAAGUCACUGAUGGCAUGCCAGUAGUUCUCAUGGACAGAGAACCAUUCACAGUCUCCAGGGCCUAUGUUGAUGUUUACCGAGCAAAAGUUAUUGUUCUCCUGGUGACCUGUUAACGACAGAAUACACUUGCGUUAUUUCAUGUGUUUUUUUUUUUAUGUUAUUUUCCACCCAAAUUAGCAGGUCUACAGAGGUUUAAAACGUGGGUCAACUGCCCCAAAACGCUGGUGUCAUGUUUCACAUCACGAAUGCUCUGGUAACAUUUGGAUCAAUUGUUGUUUUGUUUUCUGUUACAAGUGUCUGUAAAACAAUGGUUGAAUUAUUAUGAGCGUCACAACUCCUGCAAAAUGACUCUUUUAACUGUCAAACAUAUGAGCCAUCAUGUCCAAUAAAAUUUGUAAACUCUA